AAAACGCCGGUUCUCGUACGAUCACCAAAGUUAAGCAACCUCAAGCCUGGUCAGUACCUGGAUGAGUGACUGAUAAGGAAUACCAGGU